rnacentral:lncRNA from 1 species
GCCACAGCAUCUAACAAGUGUUUGGCAAAUGUCCACCACCCUUACUUUGCUACAUCCCUGUGUGGGAGUACUAGGCUUCAGGAGCCACUGCCUCCCAGUGGUGGUGAGACAUGGUCAGUCCAAUCAUCUGAUCACUGUUCCUUCUAGGUUUGCUCUUGUUCAUCCCCACAAGGCCAGUUCUUCAGAUCCAUUUUCCAGAUCUUUGUGGAGAGACAUUUAUUUGAUGUUUCUCUCUUGGCAACAAGGCUGGCCUUAUGUGCAACUCAUAACAAUGCUGAAUCACUCUUCUUCUGCAGAAAGUGAAAGGAGGACGCAGGAUGCAAAACUGUGGCAAGCUAGAUACAGUGAGUUUAGCAGUACUUGCUCUCUUCCUUUGAUGCUCAGAGAUGGCAAGAGGAGGCCUCUUCCUAAGUUUCUAGCUGGUGGCCCCUUUGAGCUAUACAGACAUGGUCCCUUCACUGUUUUAAGAACAUCUUUCCACCAGAUGCACUGAAUGAGUAUGAUCCCUUUUAAGUAUAUGCACAGCUGGCAGAGCACAGCUCUGUUGAAAGGAUAAGGAGGCCAUAGACUAAGCCAUCUGGGAUAACGACUGUAGCUGAGCUGCAGAGAGGGUUCAUAGCAACUAGAGAGCUCACGCUGGAUCAGCCUUCUCUUUAGGGUUACUGGCCUGAUCAAAAGUAUAGCACAGUGACAGGAAAAUCUUUCUUUAGCUAGGAAGGAGGCUUGGUGGCUCCAUGUUUAAUUUUGCUGCCAGUGAGUUUUGUGGUCUUAGUACACAGUUGGUGUUUAUGAAAUGUGAUCAAAAGGCUGGAAUAUUCCACCAGAAGAUGUUAUAUAUCAGCCAUAGAGACCAUCAUGCUCAAGUGGCACAAUGUCCACCCUGGGACUCCCUUCCCAAGUCUUUCAGACCCAUUCACCCCCACAAAGUUUGCCUACAUGGUAUUUCAUUCAUGCAUUGGUUACUUUCCAAUUCCCAGUAGAACAUAAGCCCUGGGCUGUAAUGAAAGAGACAAUUUCUGUCUUGUCAAGUUCUUAGGACAAUACAUGGUUCAAAUAGCCAUUCAAAAAUAUCUCAUUAACUCAAUUGAAUAGCUUAUGGUGAUUCUAAGAUACAUAAAUAUGAAAUAUGGCUGUACUUCAUUAUCCAGAAGUCAGAAUUUUGGUAACUUGAAAUUCUGGAAAGUGUUUCUGAAACUAGAAAUACAAGUGUUUAAUACUAAGAUUCAGGAAGGAAUUCCACACAUCAGAAACAACGACUGGACUUGCUCAGCCUUGAAAGAGAUGUCCCUGACUUCCAUAUUUUAUAAGGCAUGGGGAAUGAAAUGUGCAUGGACCACCAGACAGUCUUGGCCUGGCCAGAAGGCCACCCUGCUGGUUGGUAAUCAUGUGGCUUGAUUAUAGACAAACACCCAUUUCCUGUUGAUAAGGUGGGAAGGCCUUAGCUCUGUAUUAUGACUUUAUAAGUAUAGACAAUUGAAAGAGCCAGUGUAUUCACCUGGGGUUCUUUUAGCUGACUCCUCACUGUCCAGUAGAUGUUCACUAUUGCUAAAGAGAAAAAAGAAAACUGAGGCUUUCAAAAACAAACACAAAUACCACACAAAGAUAAUACUGUUUCCAUACAUGUGUCCAUAACAUAUAUGGUUUUACCUCAUUGUUUAAAUAGAUUCCAUACAUUAAUUAUUGUCUCUUGACAAGCAUCUUGGAAGUCUGGCUACCUAAAAUCAGAAGAAACUGAGCCUAUAAACAAGAUUGUGUGUGGAUGUCACAGCUACAGCUGCUCUUAUUUUUAACUACAUUUGUGUGUGAAUACAGAGAGAAAUACUACGGGAAGAACAGGGUGUUUUAGACAUGUGCUGGCUGUAUUAGUUAAUGGUUCAGUUGCAGAUUUCACAAGAUUCCUCUUCAGGUGUUGGAAGCAUCAACAAUAGACGUGGCUAUCCUCUAGGCCCACUGAUGGUGAACAGUUGAAAACCCUACCAGCCUGCUUGUGACGCCAGAGACAAAUCAUAAACAGCCCAGACUGGGAAGAUGAUGCCAUGUCAGGAGGUAGAGUAAUAAGUGUGUUACCCUAGGCAGUUGCCUAACCUUGGUGUGUGAAGGGCGUGUUUCUGCAUUGUGAACCCAGAAAAGCAGCAAAUUCGGUGACAGCUUCAACUGUGGGAGAAAAUUUUGAAAUUCUGUAUGCUGCCCUUUAAAAGUCUUUCUACUCAGUACACUAGAGUCUCAUUCUGUACACUUUGUUGCCUCCAGUUUAGUUAACAGCAGAUCUAUGGGGUACCCUGUUGUAGAACCAUGCAAGGUAGCCUUGUUGCCAGCUGAUCUAAGGCUCAAAACCCCGGUGACCCUGAAGGGACAGCAGGCGCUUUGCCUGAUUCCCAGGCAGCAGGCCCCUGUCACUAGCUGCAGCUCCCCAUAAAUUUGUGGCCUUCAAUCAUGUAGGGUCAAUGCCCAAGUCUCUCUACAGGUAGAGGAAGUGAUUACAGGUCACAUAGGCUCAGACAGAUCUCUAUUUAAAUGAGGUACCUAAAAGGCCUGAAGGGCUUAGCCAAUAAACUUUCCUUCCCAAAUACAUCUCCCUGCAAAAGGUAUUUAAUCUCAGGCCCACCUUGAGAAGUGGGAUACAGUUAUACUCAUCUACUUUCCACCAUGACAAUAAAUGUCUUACAACCAUGGACUGCCUCUUUUCACCAGCAUCUGCCAUAGGGAGCCUUGGAGAAGGCCUUUGCCUGUAGAGCCACCGACUAAUCUCUUGUAGAAUCUCCCAGUCAUGGCCAAUACCAAGCCCAAGCCAACCAAAGUCAAGUCAAGGAUUCUCCCAGAGGGACCAGUUAGAGUCCCCUUCCCCCCCUGGUCCCGGGCUAGACCCAGUCUGCAGGCCCCACUCCUUUCUCAGUUCUCCUAUGGCUUCCAGGGAUGCCUGGAUGCCCGAGAGCCUGAGAACCAGAUGGCCCCAGCCUUGCCACAGGCCUGGGGACCCUUGAGCCAGUUCCAGCUGUCCUGUACCUCAGACUGUGCUCCCCACCCCCAGAGCCAUGUCCCAGGGCUUCCCUAAAGCCCAGCGCCCAUCUGACCUGGCAAGAGCAGUGGUGUGGGGUAAGCGUGGUCAACUUCCUGUGUCCUGCCUCCUUAAGCAGUGGAGUCCUGUGGAGGAGUGGAUGCUGGACCCCAUAAACCUACACCCAAUUAAGAGUCACCACCAAGGUCAUAGUCAGAAGGUGAAUUUGGAGCUUUUCUAUGAACAGAUACUCUAGUGCCAUACACAAGUGUAUUAGCCAUAAAUUUCAAAUGAAGAAGAAACUCAGUUUGAGCACGGUAAGCCUGAGCACAAGGGGUGGGGCUCCUCAAACAUACUGGAGAGUUAGCAUCCAUG